rnacentral:rRNA from 1 species
GAUGAACGCUAGCGGCAGGCUUAAUACAUGCAAGUCAAGGGGGCAGCAAUACAACCGGCGCACGGGUGAGUAACGCGUACACAACAUGCCAUAUACUGGGGUAUAGCUUUGGGAAACUGAAGGUAAUCCCCCAUAACAUUGCGAGAGGGCAUCUGAUUGCAAUUAAAGUCUCGGCGGUAUAUGAUUGGUGUGCGUUUGAUUAGCUAGUUGGUAGGGUAACGGCCUACCAAGGCGACGAUCAAUAGCUGGCGUGAGAGCGCGACCAGCCACACUGGAACUGAGACACGGUCCAGACUCCUACGGGAGGCAGCAGUAGGGAAUAUUGGACAAUGGAGGAAACUCUGAUCCAGCCAUGCCGCGUGAUAGAUGAAGGCCCUCUGGGUUGUAAAUAUCUUUUAUCUGGGAAGAAACUCCUCUAUUCUUAGAGGCCUGACGGUACCAGAGGAAUAAGCACCGGCUAACUCCGUGCCAGCAGCCGCGGUAAU